CAGAGGCGCAUGCUUCAAGAGUACCGCGGGAAAGGAACAGGGGUUCCGCCACGAUCCCGCCGGGAAAGGGACGCAUGCCGAAAGCACCGCUCCCCCUGACAGCGGCGGCUUGGGCGCAGGGUCAACAAUGCUGCGACUGUCAUCGGGCAUGUUCGCCCGGCGGAGCGCUG
rnacentral:ncRNA from 1 species